UACAUGUUCUUUCAUUCUUCAAUUAUUUUGCUGAUUUUUCAUCCCUUUUCUUUGUUUUAGAUUUUGGAUGUUGAACAAGUUCCUAAAUUAAUACUCUAUCAUUCUUGAAGAUGGAAGCAUUCAUGUAGAUGGACAAGGCUAAAUAGAUUUGCUGGAAAUUUAAAGCAAGCUCCAGAAAGUGAUGUCUGCAUUGAGCGAUCAGUUAGAGAUAAUUUAUCUCUUAUGUCAAUCCUUAACAAGCAUCCAAUUGAAUCUGCCCUUCCUAUAUUGUCGAGGCCCAUUAUGUGACUAGAUGCAAAUAAAGAUGCUGUGAUUGGGG